CCUACGGGUGGCAGCAGUGGGGAAUAUUGCACAAUGGGGGAAACCCUGAUGCAGCGACGCCGCGUGAGUGAAGAAGUAAUUCGUUAUGUAAAGCUCUAUCAGCAGGGAAGAAAAUGACGGUACCUGAGUAAGAAGCCCCGGCUAACUACGUUCCAGCAGCCGCGGUAAUACGUAGGGGGCAAGCGUUAUCCGGAUUUACUGGGGGGAAAGGGAGCGUAGACGGCAGGGCAAGUCUGGAGUGAAAGGCGGGGGCUCAACCCCCGGACUGCUCUGGAAACUGUACGGCUGGAGUGCAGGAGAGGGAAGUGGAAUUCCUAGUGGAGCGGUGAAAUGCGUAGAUAUUAGGAGGAACACCAGUGGCGAAGGCGGCUUACUGGACUGUAACUGACGUUGAGGCUCGAAAGCGUGGGGAGCAAACAGGAUUAGAUACCCGAGUAGUC
rnacentral:rRNA from 1 species